rnacentral:rRNA from 1 species
AGUGAACGCUGGCGGUAGGCCUAACACAUGCAAGUCGAACGGCAGCACAGUAAGAGCUUGCUCUUACGGGUGGCGAGUGGCGGACGGGUGAGGAAUACAUCGGAAUCUACUUUUUCGUGGGGGAUAACGUAGGGAAACUUACGCUAAUACCGCAUACGACCUACGGGUGAAAGCAGGGGAUCUUCGGACCUUGCGCGAUUGAAUGAGCCGAUGUCGGAUUAGCUAGUUGGCGGGGUAAAGGCCCACCAAGGCGACGAUCCGUAGCUGGUCUGAGAGGAUGAUCAGCCACACUGGAACUGAGACACGGUCCAGACUCCUACGGGAGGCAGCAGUGGGGAAUAUUGGACAAUGGGCGAAAGCCUGAUCCAGACAUACCGCGUGGGUGAAGAAGGCCUUCGGGUUGUAAAGCCCUUUUGUUGGGAAAGAAAAGCAGCAGGUUAAUACCCCGCUGUUCUGACGGUACCCAAAGAAUAAGCACCGGCUAACUUCGUG